UUUUGGCUGACACAGUGAUGGUACUCAAACUUGGGAGCUACCUGGAUCUUCCUGUUCAAUACCCAACUGAAUCAGUGUUAUUGGUUCAGUGGGUCUUCAAUGGGAAAAUUUUUGCUGAAUACAGUAAAGACCAAAGUUACACUCUUCUGGAAUCCCGGUUCAGUGGAAGAUUAAAGGAGGACAAUGACAGAGUUGGAGUAACUGUACAAGAUCUUCAACCCCAAGACUCUGGGACAUUCUCAGUGUCCGCAGAAGACACUGAAACACAGCUUCCAACACAGACAUUUAAAGUUUAUAUUCAAAUUCCCAUAACAGCUGUGCAGAUUGAGAAGAAUCAGGCGUGGAGAUUGUCCACAAACAGCUGUGAUGUUGAUGUGAAGUGUGUAGCGCUCGGAGCUGAGAGUGUCUCCUACCUGUGGAGCGGCUAUAAGACUGGGAGUGGAGCUCAUCUGCAGUUCAGUCUUUCACCAGCAGAAGGAGCUGUGACACUGAACUGCACUGCAGCUAACAACGUCAGCUCCAGUUCUGCUACAGAGACACUGAGCUGUAGCAUCAAACAGGUAAAAUCACACUUUUCCUGUAACUACACAAACUUUACAAAAAUGUCUGUGCACUGCAUCAGGUGUGUGUGUGUGUGUGUGUGUGUGUGUGUGUGUGUGUGUGUGUGGGCUUUGUUUCACAUGCAGAAACUCAAAUGUCAGUGCUUAAACUGAUCAGUAGUCUAGUGGCGGCCUCUCCGUAUCUGCUGGUGACCAUCAUCCUGGGUGUAAAAUGUUACAGAGCUCGAGGUCAUCAUAACAGUCAGUAUGCCAUGAAAGUAAUUGAGGAAUGAGCACUUUGCUCUCCCUGUAAGAAAUAGGUUGAACACUGAACUACUCAGUGGCAAACAAAUCUGAUUCUGCUACAAAGUUUAUAGUUUUACAGUUUUCAUUUUUAUAAUAUUUUCAUUUACACUCAAAGCUCAGGGGGACAGAAUAUUUUUACUGUAUUUCUGUUUGCACUCUUCUUAGUUGGAUCAACGUUGGAGCUUUUCUCCAAGAUUAGAGAUCACAACACUGUUAUGUCUGCCGGGAAACUCGGAUUGCUCUUCUUCCACUUCAGUCUCUCUGGGUCCUCUUCCAGCCCCCUGUAUUUCACCAGAUUCUUCUAUUUCUUCAUCGUAUUUUGCCAUCAUUCAAUUACCAGAUCUAUCACCACUGCAGUAUUCUGCAUUUUAUUUUAACUCACACUGUCUACUUUGCUGAACUGUUAUCUGACUGUAACUGGAGGUCACACAUAUUCGUGUUUAUCUGUCCCUGUACACAAUCCCUGCCAUGUUCACUGCAUCUAAUAUUAUAAUGUGUUGUAAUACUGUAUACUAAAUGUAAUCUGGUUCAUGUAAUCUGAUCAAGUACUUGUGAACAAAGUCAGAGUAUCUGUACAUUUACAUAAACUGCUUUAUUACA